AUUGAACGCUGGCGGCAUGCCUUACACAUGCAAGUCGAACGGCAGCACGGGUGCUUGCACCUGGUGGCGAGUGGCGAACGGGUGAGUAAUACAUCGGAACGUACCUUAUCGUGGGGGAUAACGCAGCGAAAGUUGCGCUAAUACCGCAUACGCCCUGAGGGGGAAAGCGGGGGACCGUAAGGCCUCGCGCGAUUAGAGCGGCCGAUGUCUGAUUAGCUUGUUGGUGCGGUACAAGCUUUCCAAGGCGAUGAUCAGUAGCUGGUAUGAGAGGACGAUCAGCAACACUGGGACUGAGACACGGCACAGACGCCUACUGGAGGCAGCAGUGGGGAAUUUUGGACAAUGGGGGCAACCCUGAUCCAGCAAUGCCGCGUGAGGGAAGAAGGCCUUCGGGUUGUAAAGCUCUUUUGUCAGGGAAGAAACACCGGCUCUAACACAGUCCGGGAAUGACGGUACCUGAAGAAUAAGCACCGGCUAACUACGUGCCAGCAGCCGCCGUAA
rnacentral:rRNA from 1 species